UGCAAGUCGAACGGCAGCAUGGAGAGCUUGCUCUCUGAUGGCGAGUGGCGAACGGGUGAGUAAUAUAUCGGAACGUGCCUAGUAGUGGGGAACAACCAUCCGAAAGGAUGGCUAAUACCGCAUACGACCUACGGGUGAAAGCAGGGGAUCUUCGGACCUUUCGCUAUCAGAUGAGCCUGCGUGAGAUUAGCUAGUUGGUGGGGUAAAGGCUCACCAAGGCGACGAUCUCUAGCUGGUCUGAGAGGAUGAUCAGCCACACUGGGACUGAGACACGGCCCAGACUCCUACGGGAGGCAGCAGUGGGGAAUAUUGGACAAUGGGCGCAAGCCUGAUCCAGCCAUGCCGCGUGUGUGAAGAAGGCCUUCGGGUUGUAAAGCACUUUCAGAGGUGAGGAAGGGUUUGCCGUUAAUACCGGUAUGCUUUGACGUUAGCCUCAGAAGAAGCACCGGCUAACUCUGUGCCAGCAGCCGCGGUAAUACAGAGGGUGCGAGCGUUAAUCGGAAUUACUGGGCGUAAAGCGCGCGUAGGUGGUUUGUUAAGUCGGAUGUGAAAGCCCAGGGCUCAACCUUGGAAUUGCACCCGAUACUGGCAAGCUAGAGUACGGUAGAGGGGUGUGGAAUUUCCUGUGUAGCGGUGAAAUG
rnacentral:rRNA from 1 species